rnacentral:tRNA from 9 species
GGGGAUAUGGCGAAAUCGGUAGACGCUACGGACUAAAAUCCGUCGACUUUAGAAAUCGUGAGGGUUCGAGUCCCUCUAUCCCCA